rnacentral:lncRNA from 1 species
AUAUCGUCAGGACACUAAUGAUACCUGUACCACAUCUUCUUUUCAUCUAUACUGACAGUUUAGCUUUAGAGCUUACCCAGUGCCUGGAUGAGCUGAGGACUCACACGAAAUCUCACUGGCUGAGUUUCAAGCUAAAUAAAACAAAGGUUUUCGUGACUGUGAGACUAACAGUUGUCAAUGCAGUAAUGAACCAUGUGAAACCUCUGAAGCCUACUUUCUAAACCCUUCACUUUCCACUUGUUUGGAAUUACAGUGAUUCCAAAGACAACAAUGGGAGCCACAUAGUUAACCAUGAUAAAGUUUCUGUUUAGACUGGACUCAGAACAACUGUGUUGAGAAGUGUUCUCCUGUCUGUUCACUGAUUUAGCACUAUAACAAGCCCAAGAAAUAAACAUCCACUAUGUUUGAGUUGGUGUGUAUUUUGAGGUCUAUUUGAUAUUCUAAAUAAAACAUAACUUUAAAAUUUUGUAAUACUUAUUUUUGU